rnacentral:tRNA from 2 species
GUUAAAUUAGUUUAUAUUAAAACACCAGCCUGUGGAUCUGGAAAAAAGAACUCAUCUUAUUUAACC